rnacentral:rRNA from 1 species
AGAGUUUGAUCAUGGCUCAGGAUGAACGCUAGCUACAGGCUUAACACAUGCAAGUCGAGGGGCAGCAUGUUGGUUGCUUGCAACCAACGAUGGCGACCGGCGCACGGGUGAGUAACGCGUAUCCAACCUACCCUUGUCCAUCGGAUAACCCGUCGAAAGGCGGCCUAACACGAUAUGCGGUUCACAGCAGGCAUCUAACGUGAACGAAAUGUGAAGGAGAAGGAUGGGGAUGCGUCUGAUUAGCUUGGUUGGCGGGGUAACGGCCACAAGGCUACGAUCAGUAGGGUUCUGAGAGGAAGGUCCCCCANAUUGGAACUGAGACACGGUCCAAACUCCUACGGGAGCA